GCCAGUGUGGCAUAGUGGUUCGAGUGCUAGAUUUUGACUCUGGAGACUAAGGUUCAAAUCCCCGCUCAGGGA